UGUUUGUUUAAAAGACUUAAAAGAGAGGGUC
rnacentral:piRNA from 1 species